rnacentral:rRNA from 1 species
GAUUAUGGCUCAGGACGAACGCUGGCGGCGUGCCUAACACAUGCAAGUCGAGCGAGGAGAUUCCUUCGGGAUGAUCCUAGCGGCGGACGGGUGAGUAACACGUGGGCAACCUGCCUCAUAGAGAGGAAUAGCCUUCCGAAAGGGAGAUUAAUACCUCAUAACAUUGCAGUUUCGCAUGGAACAGCAAUUAAAGGAGUAAUCCGCUAUGAGAUGGGCCCGCGGCGCAUUAGCUAGUUGGUGAGGUAACGGCUCACCAAGGCGACGAUGCGUAGCCGACCUGAGAGGGUGAUCGGCCACAUUGGGACUGAGACACGGCCCAGACUCCUACGGGAGGCAGCAGUGGGGAAUAUUGCACAAUGGGGGAAACCCUGAUGCCAGCAACGCCGCGUGAGUGAUGACGGCCUUCGGGUUGUAAAGCUCUGUCUUCAGGGACGAUAAUGACGGUACCUGAGGAGGAAGCCACGGCUAACUACGUGCCAGCCGCCGC